ensembl:lncRNA
ACACACACACACAUACACACACACAAAAGGACCAGGAACUGAACUCUGAACUCAAUUUCAUACUCCUCGACUUAAAGGAGCAUUGAGCUGAAGUGUCAGCUCACAGGGACAUUUUCCUUUCCUUUUAUUAUUGAAAGAGCUCUAUUUUUGUUUUAUUGUAUUUUCAUUCUUGGUACAUUAUAGUACUGUGUUCAUUGUUGUGUCCCCUAAUGUAAUAAAACUGUCAACUGUUCAACUCAUUACUAACUCUUUUGUGAGUCACUCAAGGCAGACCACACCCCGGACCUAGAUAGAUGUUAGUUGCCCUGUUCUAGUAUUGGUUAGCACUAGGGGGCGCUACAUGUGGAAGUCACAAGUAAGUCUCAAGU